rnacentral:rRNA from 1 species
CCUAUGGGAGGCAGCAGUGAGGAAUAUUGGUCAAUGGCCGAGAGGCUGAACCAGCCAAGUCGCGUGAGGGAAGAAUGUCCUAUGGAUUGUAAACCUCUUUUGUCAGGGAGCAAAGUCAUCCACGUGUGGGUGUUGGAGAGUACCUCAUGAAUAAGGAUCGGCUAACUCCGUGCCAGCAGCCGCGGUAAUACGGAGGAUGCGAGCGUUUUCCGGAUUUAUUGGGUUUAAAGGGUGCGUAGGCGGGUUAUUAAGUUAGCGGUAAAAUUGUGGAGCUCAACUCCAUCCAGCCGGGGCAACUGAUGAUCUUGAGUGGGCGGAAGGUAGGCGGAAUGCGUGGUGUAGCGGUGAAAUGCAUAGAUAUCACGCAGAACUCCGAUUGCGAAGGCAGCAUACCGGCGCCCGACUGACGCUGAAGCACGAAAGCGUGGGUAUCGAACAGGAGUAGAUACCCGAGUAGUC